GUCCAGGAUAGUCUAGUGGACAUGGCAUCUGCCCGGGAACAUUGUGGGUUCGAUUCCCAUCCCUGGACA